UGGCGGACGGGUGAGUAACGCGUGGGUAACCUGCCUCAUACAGGGGGAUAACAGUUAGAGAUGACUGCUAAUACCGCAUAAGACCACAGCACCGCAUGGUGCAGGGGUAAAAACUCCGGUGGUAUGAGAUGGACCCGCGUCUGAUUAGGUAGUUGGUGGGGUAACGGCCUACCAAGCCGACGAUCAGUAGCCGACCUGAGAGGGUGACCGGCCACAUUGGGACUGAGACACGGCCCAA
rnacentral:rRNA from 1 species